rnacentral:hammerhead_ribozyme from 1 species
AUUGACGAAUCCCAAAUAGGACGAAACGCGCGUCCUGGAU